GGAGCGCGAGAGCCUGCAGCGCACCUCAGAGAUGGACCGUACGCGUAUGGAGAAGCUGCUGGCGGAGAUGCAGCGUAGAGAGGAGGUGCUGCAGGAGGAGAGGAUGGAGAGGGAGAAGAUCCAGGUGGAGCUCGGACGAGAGAAGGACUGCAACCGGGUGCAGCUGAGUGAGAGCAGACGUGAGCUUCAAGAGUUGAAGGCCAGUCUCCGUGUAGCUCAGAAGGAGAAAGAACAACUGCAAAUGGAGA